UAAUGUCUGGGAAACUGCCUGAUGGAGGGGGAUAACUACUGGAAACGGUAGCUAAUACCGCAUAACGUCGCAAGACCAAAGAGGGGGACCUUCGGGCCUCUUGCCAUCAGAUGUGCCCAGAUGGGAUUAGCUAGUAGGUGGGGUAAUGGCUCACCUAGGCGACGAUCCCUAGCUGGUCUGAGAGGAUGACCAGCCACACUGGAACUGAGACACGGUCCAGACUCCUACGGGAGGCAGCAGUGGGGAAUAUUGCACAAUGGGCGCAAGCCUGAUGCAGCCAUGCCGCGUGUAUGAAGAAGGCCUUCGGGUUGUAAAGUACUUUCAGCGGGGAGGAAGGUGUUGUGGUUAAUAACCACAGCAAUUGACGUUACCCGCAGAAGAAGCACCGGCUAACUCCGUGCCAGCAGCCGCGGUAAUACGGAGGGUGCAAGCGUUAAUCGGAAUUACUGGGCGUAAAGCGCACGCAGGCGGUCUGUCAAGUCGGAUGUGAAAUCCCCGGGCUCAACCUGGGAACUGCAUUCGAAACUGGCAGGCUAGAGUCUUGUAGAGGGGGGUAGAAUUCCAGG
rnacentral:rRNA from 1 species